rnacentral:rRNA from 1 species
UACGGAGGGUGCGAGCGUUGUCCGGAAUCACUGGGCGUAAAGGGCGCGUAGGCGGUCUGCUAAGCGUGCGGUGAAAGCCUGGGGCUCAACCCCAGGUCUGCCGUGCGAACUGGUGGACUGGAGCACUGUAGAGGCAGGUGGAAUUCCGGGUGUAGCGGUGGAAUGCGUAGAGAUCCGGAAGAACACCGGUGGCGAAGGCGGCCUGCUGGGCAGUUGCUGACGCUGAUGCGCGACAGCGUGGGGAGCAAACGAGGAUUAGAAACC